rnacentral:lncRNA from 1 species
UGUUUGCUGGACAUCUUGAAGAUCCAACAUGGAUGAAGAUGGGGCGAGAGAAACAUAUCCAGAGAUGGACAGUAUAUCAGCUUCAGUAUUAAAAGCUGCUGGUGUGAAGAUGGCCAUGUUGCCCAGCCUCACUAAGGAGGAUUUGCGAGACCUGUUUCCUGGGUCAGAAAACUUUUUAAGAAGAAGACACAUUUGGCAACUUGUUCAUGUGGAUAUGGAGGAAAUGGUGAAGAAGCAGUUGUUGAAAAGAGUUCAGAAUGUGACAACUCCAAAAAAGAAGCAAGGUGCAAACCCUUCAGGAAAAAGACCUAGAAGCCUAAAAUUCCCGAGCAGCCAGGGCGACGUGCACUGAAGAGAGUGAUGAACCUUUCUCCUCCCCUGCU